rnacentral:rRNA from 1 species
CCGGCGACCGGCGCACGGGUGAGUAACGCGUAUGUAACCUACCUUUGACAGGGGGAUAACAUCGAGAAAUUGGUACUAAUACCCCAUAACAUCACCGGAGGCAUCUUCGGUGGUUGAAAACUCAGGUGGUCAGAGAUGGACAUGCGUUGUAUUAGCUAGUUGGUGAGGUAACGGCUCACCAAGGCGACGAUACAUAGGGGGACUGAGAGGUCAACCCCCCACAUUGGUACUGAGACACGGACCAAACUCCUACGGGAGGCAGCAG